AAAAAUUCUAUGAUAAGGAGAGUACUUUUUAACGUUUCUUUAAGCGAGCAGGGAAUGGUGAGAGCCUGUAAGAGGGUAAAAAGGAAAAGAACCUUGGAGAAGCCCAUUUGAAAUCUUAUUUAGAGAGUAAAGUGAGACGCUAGCCCCGUUAAGGCAUUAAGUGGACUUUUGUCAAUUAGAGUGGUACCGCGGAAUAUUACCCGUCUCUUUU
rnacentral:ncRNA from 1 species